rnacentral:lncRNA from 1 species
UUAAAUACUUGUUUGCCAUGAAAUAAGGCAAUUCACUUGCUAAAAAUGAAAGUAGACAGAGAGAGAAAAUUGAGAGCAUUUUAAUGAUUUAAUGUAAAGACAAAGAGGAGAGCCACCAUGGGUCUCUGCAAGGAGCAAUUGCAGCUAACCCACUACAGUUCAACUAUUUUAUCUUCUUAUUGUGAAGUGGCCUUGGAUAACCCCUUCGACUGCCCUUAUUCCUUUUCUCUUUAUUCUUAAUUGGCGUUUUCUCUGUUGAAAGACAAGUUUGCAUCUCACCUUUAUGUUUUCAAUUUAAUAUUACAUGA